AGCUAAGCCAAAGGGAGGGCGGGAGAAAGGAAGCGGCAGCAGGCGCCUCUCCGCAACUCUAACCCUCUGGUAGAGAUCGCCAAGAUUGGUAUCCAUAGAGCUUGCUGUGGUCUGAAUGUAUCUCCCAAAUUUCAUGUGUUGGAAACUUUAUUCUUAAUGCAAAAGUGUUAAGAGUAUUCCCAGCACCUAAAAUGUGCCUGGAAAAAAGCAGGAACCCAGCACUUGUACAUCAGAUGAAUGGAUGAAUGAACAAAGCCAUACUUCAUUGCCCUCAGCUUCGUUUUUUUAUGUUGCAUUAAAGACCCACUAGAGGGCUGUACGUCACUGCAUAAUAAAUGAGGAGCUGGAGCUUGCGCGGCAGCACUACUCCGCCUGCAGAAGCCUGUCCCUAGAGGAAAUCCCCAGAUUUGCAUGUGUAGGAUUUAAAAUCAGACAAGACAUUUGUGUAUCCCGGAGAGCUUGUCCACUGCAACGGUGCAACAUGCUAAGGGCUAUGUGGUGGCACAGGGGCUCUGAGCUCCUGACAUGAGUCAUGUGGACCUGAGGCUGACACCCAGCCCUAUACCUACAAGCUGGGCGAGACCCCUUGCAGUUGCCUACACCCCUGCUGAGACCCAGUACCUCCCUGUAAAAUGGGGGAAAUAAUGCCUGCCUCACACGGUUUCAGUGAAGGGAAACAUCUGGAAACCCCCUGGGGGAGAUCUGCCACGUGGCCUCCAGUGAACUGUAGACUCCUGCAUAGCCUUCCAAAGUUCUUCAUUUGGUGAAUAUUAUGAGAAAUGACAUGUAUGACUUUCUCCCAAAUACAUGGCUUGAACCCAAAGUACAGUGAAAUCAGAACUGACCACACAGAGUAAUUGGGGAAAGGGAGUUAUUUGUGACACAAAGCCCUCAUCACUUUGUAAAAGUACUUGCUACUGAUUACAUUGAAAACCAGUC